UACGGAGGAGGCAAGCGUUAUCCGGAAUUAUUGGGCGUAAAGCGUCCGCAGGUGGCACUUCAAGUCUGCUGUCAAAGACCGGGGCUUAACCCCAGAAAGGCAGUGGAAACUGAAGUGCUAGGGUGCAGUAGGGGUAGAGGGAAUUCCCGGUGUAGCGGUGAAAUGCGUAGAGAUCGGGAAGAACAUCGGUGGCGAAAGCGCUCUGCUGGACUGCAACUGACACUCAGGGACGAAAGCUAGGGGAGCGAAUGGG
rnacentral:rRNA from 1 species